rnacentral:rRNA from 1 species
GCAGAACGCGAAGAACCUUACCCACCUUUGACAUGUACGGAAGUUGCCAGAGAUGGCUUCGUGCUCGAAAGAGAGCCGUAACACAGGUGCUGCAUGGCUGUCGUCAGCUCGUGUCGUGAGAUGUUGGGUUAAGUCCCGCAACGAGCGCAACCCUUGUCAUUAGUUGCUACGAAAGGGCACUCUAAUGAGACUGCCGGUGACAAACCGGAGGAAGGUGGGGAUGACGUCAAGUCCUCAUGGCCCUUAUAGGUGGGGCUACACACGUCAUACAAUGGCCGGUACAAAGGGCAGCCAACCCGCGAGGGGGAGCUAAUCCCAUAAAGCCGGUCGUAGUCCGGAUCGCAGUCUGCAACUCGACUGCGUGAAGUCGGAAUCGCUAGUAAUCGUGGACCAGCAUGUCACGGUGAAUACGUUCCCGGGUCUUGUACACACCG